AAUCACAACCGGGUGUUGCGGGGGUCGGGUGUGAGCCUGGUCCUCGUGAUGCUUUGCUGGCAUGCAUGCAUGGUGUUUCUUGCGAGGCACCGUGGGUGUGGUGUUGGCAUGAUAACAAACCCCCGGCACGGCAUGUGCCAAGGAAAACAAAACAUAAGAAUGGCGCGUCCCGUGUUGCCCCGUUCGCGGUGUGCGCGUGGGUCGUGUCUUCUCAUAAAACCAUAAACGACUCUCGGCAACGGAUAUCUCGGCUCACGCAUCGAUGAAGAACGUAGCAAAAUGCGAUACUUGGUGUGAAUUGCAGAAUCCCGUGAACCAUCGAGUUUUUGAACGCAAGUUGCGCCCGAAGCCAUUCGGCCGAGGGCACGUCUGCCUGGGCGUCACGCAUCGCGUCGCCCCCGACCACGCCUCCCUCAUGGGAAUGGCUUGUGUCGGGAGCGGAGACUGGCCUCCCAUGCCCAUGGUGUGGUUGGCCUAAAAAGGAGUCCCCUUUGUCGGACGCACGGCUAGUGGUGGUUGUCAAGGCCUUCGUAACGAGCCGUGUGGAUGCAAAGGGACCGCUCUAAAAAGACCCCAAGGUUUUUGGUUUGUUACGGAUGGUUGGAUGUCUGCCUUGAGCAGCAACUUCCAUGCGUUCUUACCUCUUCAGUUGUGCGCAAGGCUUGUCGCCUUGGGUACUUUGUGGGUUUCCUGUGUUGCAUACCUAGUCGAUGGUAUUUUGGUGGUUUAUAGAUUUUCCUCUUCGUCGUGCGUCGCUUAUGGGGCGUGGGACGAACGUCGAUGCGAUCUUUGUGAUCUGCCUUGUUGGUGCUUAUGCAUUGAUGAUGUGGCCCAUGAAGCAUUGCUUGGUGUCUUGUGUACGGAACCUAAUGUGGGCAUGGGUCUUACGUGAUCCUAUGUUUGCCCUUGUUAAGCGUUCUCGCUUCUCUAAAACGAUUGCCCGUCACGUUAUGGCUUGUCCAUUCGUUUCGGGCUUUGUCGAAGAGGAAUGCUACCUGGUUGAUCCUGCCAGUAGUCAUAUGCUUGUCU
rnacentral:misc_RNA from 1 species